AAAAUUCCCUGCCUCUGAUGUAAACAGCAGAAAGAAAAAGUCAUCUGGAAGGACAGGAUGAUUCACGCUGAGGACCUGACUUGUAAUAUUCAUCAGUGUUGAAACUGUCUCUGCAAGAUGACUACAUGUGAAAGCAGCACCAGCGAAAUCCCAGCUUCUGCCACGAGAAGUAUCAUUAACGGCAGAGCGGUGUGGUGAGACUCCAGUGCCACAACCCUUGCUCGGGUGAGUAAUCGUAAGUCAUCCGACCAGUCCCAGCUAAAACAGCAGCGUCAUUCAGGUUGCGUGCCACCGUGGGUUCUCCCAGCGGAAGAGGAGCCGAGCCCAUUACGUGACUGCUCCGUCAUCCCUAGGAGGUUUCCCGGCUCCUCGGCGGAGGGGAGCCCUGAUGAGAGCGACUCUCCCUCAGCGCCAGGGGCAGGUUGGACUUUGACUCCAAGCAGAGCAGACACGAGAGUCCUCUGGCUGAGGCGGCGGUGACUAGUCAGCUGCACAGCCUCCUGACCUCACGUUAACCGGUGCUGCACGUGAGCGCCUUGGGCCAAAUGCUGCUCUGGUGCAAAUUCAGUGACCUAGCCGAGCUGUCCCCGGGGGGAAACGGUGCCCAACGUGUUCAUCGGUUUCCUGAGGUUGGGAGUGGCAAGCGAUAUUAGGUUUAGAUUUGCCCAACUCCUUCUUUUCCCAGCUCUCUCUCCAUUUGAAACACCAUCCUGCUUCAGGAGCAUCAUGCAAUCUCAGGCCGAGGUUCCCACAAUCCCAGAGAGCAUUUAUGGAGCCACACAUUUGACUGCAAUGGCGUCAAAUGAAACGUAGUCCCACAGACUGAAGUAGACAUGAGUAAUUUCUUCACCUCAUACCUGCAUCCCCUGUGCCAGUUUUCCACAUUUUAAUACAAAUGCUGGAAUUUUAUAUUCUGUGGGCACACACAUAAAGGCACACACACACACACAAAGAGCAUGUUCCGUAACAGUUAAAAGCAAGGCCCAAUAAGAACAACCAAGAAAA
rnacentral:lncRNA from 1 species